GCCGAUGUAGCUCAGUUGGUAGAGCGGCUCAUUCGUAAUGAGUAGGUCGGCGGUUCGAAUCCGCCCAUUGGCUCCA
rnacentral:tRNA from 1 species